UAGGGAAUCUUCCGCAAUGGGCGAAAGCCUGACGGAGCAACGCCGCGUGAGUGAUGAAGGGCUUCGGAUCGUAAAACUCUGUUAUUAGGGAAGAACAAAUGUGUAAGUAACUAUGCACGUCUUGACGGUACCUAAUCAGAAAGCCACGGCUAACUCCGUGCCAGCAGCCGCGGUAAUACGUAGGUGGCAAGCGUUAUCCGGAAUUAUUGGGCGUAAAGCGCGCGUAGGCGGUUUUUUAAGUCUGAUGUGAAAGCCCACGGCUCAACCGUGGAGGGUCAUUGGAAACUGGAAAACUUGAGUGCAGAAGAGGAAAGUGGAAUUCCAUGUGUAGCGGUGAAAUGCGCAGAGAUAUGGAGGAACACCAGUGGCGAAGGCGACUUUCUGGUCUGUAACUGACGCUGAUGUGCGAAAGCGUGGGGAUCAAACAGG
rnacentral:rRNA from 1 species